rnacentral:sRNA from 2 species
GACCUGCAUUCCAGCCACCGUGAAUAGUCGCGCCUGUUGGUUUCAGCACUCGCUUUAGUUACGGAAAAUUAUGCUAUCCUGGUAUUGUCUCGCCCUACGUGUCUCAGAAUUUCAUGAAGCGUUCAACCGGGGAAUUAAGACACCCUACUAGUACUAGUAUUCAUGGACAGUCGCCCUGUUUUGAAGGCUGAGCAAGGUAAUUCGUAACUCCGUGAUUGACAUAGCUUCGUGGGUUAAAAAAUAAACUUCUCAUACGUUUCCAAUGUUCAGGGAGAGAGAAGGCAUUCGUAUAUAUUAACAGCUCUAAAUAACCACAGCAAUAUGAACGGAAUGAUCAAGGAUGAUGAUGAUCGUGAAGCUGCUCAAUGCCCAUAUUAGGCUUAGUGAGAACUACUCCAUCGAUUAGAAUUUCACAACUAUUCUCAAGAGUUAAUUUUACUACAUAUCUUAAGUAUUAGUGCUUUCAAAGUAUAGAAAUGAGCACUUAGUUUGUAUAAUAGUAUAGUGAAUUUAUUUUUAAAAUAUUCUUAAGAGAAGUAGCUAAAUAUUUUGAUAAUAGCACCCC